ensembl:lncRNA
GUGAGUAUUAAUAGCCUUGAAUUGGAGGGCUUGAAAAUAGGCAGUUUGCUCUGUAUAGUAAAGGACAGGAGGGUCCUGUUGGUUGUGCCUGUGUGCUGCAUCUCCCUCCCAGGGAGCCCAGGUGGAUAGGGUCUGAUGGUGGAGAGAGCCCAGGGAGUGGGGCGUCUUAAAACCCUUUUCCUCUUUCUAAUCUCUUCAGCCACUCUAAGUGAAGUCACUCUCACUUCUGCCUGUACCACUGUGAUAGCCUCCUGACAACUCUCCCAAUGUCUAGUCUUGCCUCUGAACAAUACUGUGUUGAUCCUCUAAAAUCAACCCACAUCAGAGCCAGAACAAUGGAAGAAGGCAUGGCCCUCGGGUAUUGCUCAAAUUCAGGACAAGAAGAACCUGGAAAGGAUCUCUAGAAGGGGCCCACAGCACUCCAGAACCCCAGUAAUAUUUUUGGCAAAGCCAGCCAGAAGAUGAGAAGAUCCUGGAAACUAACUCCAGACUCCUUGGACACCUUCUAUCCCCACUGGAUGUCUCAUCCUGCUCCUGAGAGAGGUCCCAGUGUAACCAGCUCCCUCUAGCUCUUGGGUCCUUGUUUGGGGGCAAUGAAAAUUGAAGCUGACAAAUCAGCAAACAGCAAGUGGUGGGGAAUGGUCAAAUGUGUGUUUAUUAGAAAAAAUAAAAGGUGGGCUGGGGAUUUAUUUAGCUCAGUGGUUCUGGCACCUGCCUUGUGAGCGCAAGGUCUGGAGUUCGAUCCCCAGUACCAAAAAAGAAAGAAAAAGAAGGAAAGAAAAAGAAAAAAUAAAAGGAAAAGCCCCCCCAGUAGUCAGGGAGGGGUUCUGUAAGCCGGACACUGUAGAUGUUUAAAUCCAUUGGUGGCAGCUGCUGCUGCUACUUCUUCCUCUUCGUCUUGCUUCUACUUCCUCCUCUUCCUCUUUUUUUUUUUUUUUUUUGGUACCGGGGAUCGAACUCAGAUCCUUGCACUUGCAAGGCAGGCAGUGGAACCACUGAGCUAAAUCCCCAGCCCUCUCUUCCUCUUCUUUGUUGUUGUUGCUGUUUUGUGUUUUGAGACAGGUCUCAUUAUGUAGUCCAGGCUAGCCUCGAACCCACAGUGACCUGCCUCAGGCUCCUGAGUGCUGGGAUUACAGGCAUGGGCCACUACACCUGAUGAAAUCAAGGAAGCUUUUGAUUGUACAAUCUAGAUCUAAUGCCAGUUUGAGGAAUGGGAAAUAUAAUAGAUUGUGGCCAUUAACCCUGUCACCCCUGUGCUUGCUUUCUUCAAUGGCCUGCUCUUACUCUGCGUUGCAUACUUCUUUUCCUACUUUAAUUGGCCCACACUUACUCUAAAGAACAUAUUUCUCUUGCUACCUUUAAUAAAUAUAAAACUUUGCUACCUUUUACACACCUUGACCAAUUCUUUGUUCAGGACAAGAACCUGAAAAGGGUCUCUAGAAGGAGCCUAUAGCAGGCCAGAACUCUGUUCACAGACACAUGGUUUGCUCUCAGUUCCAGUACAGACACAGAAUGCAAUAGACUUUCUCAACCAUGCCUGCCCCACAAGCUCAAGGACCCGAGUUCGAUUCCCAGUACCAAAAAAAAAAGAAAUAGACUUUCUUAAACAUAUGCCCUACGAACCUGUGUGUCAGUUGGUUUGGGUAGUAUUUUGGCUUAGGUAGGAGGUGGUUUAUAUACUUGGGAGUAGAAUUGCUGGGUUAUAAGACAAACACAAAUAUACAUAAUUUGAUUAAAUACAUUUAAAAGACCUACCAGAGAAAUUAUACCUGCAUUAACAAUUUAUGAAAAAUCUUAUUUCUACCACAUCCUCACCAGCCCUUUGAAUUAUCUUGAGUUUCUAACUUGAAGCUGUAUUACAGACAUAAAAUAUUACCUUGUUGUGUUAAUUUGGGUUUCUCUGAUUAGCAGGUCAGAGUUCAUACAGUUUUCACGCUAGAGUCUGUAGUGUUUGUGGGAGAAGAGAAAGAUGUCUCCCAUUCUCUGAGACACCAGUGAAAUGUGUCAGUUGCAUGCUCCCCUUCACUGCCCAAAGCUCGCUGCUCCCUCCUGGAUUCUUGCUUUGUACUUAAGGUUCAAAGUGAUUUCAAAGGUCUUUACGUGGCAACACUUUUUAAGCCUUGAAUAAAUACUUAUUUCAUUCUAGUGUUUACAUGGCAGGAUAGCUAUAGAUGGAAAUCCUAGUUUCAAAGUUCUUUGACUUCAAGCCUUGAAAAUAAUUUUACGUGAAUUUAUGGUUUCCUAAAUACAGUAAUACAUUGCUUUGUUUUGCUAAUUUAUUGUCCAGUUUUUCUCAGUAAAUAAGAAUAGGAGCAACUUGUCUUCUGAAAAUUGUUGUCUUCUUUCUUUUUUUUAUUUUUGUACCAGGGAUCGAACUCAGGAUCUUGCGCUUUCAAGGGAGGUGCCAGAACCACUGAGCUAAAUCCCCGGCCCUGAAACUUGUCUUCACUCAAUAUUAUAGUUCUAGUUUCAUCUAUUUUGUCACCUGUGGCUGUACAUAAUUCUAUUUCCUUCUGCAUAAUAUUCUACUUUUUAGGUAUAUUUGGGGGCUGGGUAUUUGGCUCAGGGGAAGAGGGCAGGUUUAGCAUGUGUGAGGGCCUGGUUCAAACCCCAGUACUAGCCUCCAGAUUACAAUGUAUCCAUUAUCCUGGUGACAAUAGACUAUUUCAUUUUUGUCUUUGAAAGACUAUUGCUAAAUGUAUUUUAUAUGUAUCUCUUAAUGGACACACACAAAAAAGUGUGGAGUAGAAAUGCUAGGUCAUAAAAUUUCCACAUCUUGGCUGUGGUGGCACACGCCUGUAAUCCCAGUACUUGGGAGGCAGAGACAGGAGGAUCACUGCAAAUUCAAGGCCAGCCUGGGCUACAUAGUGAGUUCAAGGCCAGCCUGCAUUACAGAGCAAGACUGUCUCAAAAAACAAAAAGAAAAUGUGCACAUCUUUAAUUGUAUUUGAUAAUACCAGCUUGUUUUCCAAAGGGUUCGUUCCACUUUACUCUCCUGCCAGCUGUAUAUAAGAAUUCUGGUUGACCCUCAUCCUUGAUGACACUUUGUAUUAUUAGGGCUCCUAACUUUGAAGAACAUAAUGGAUGGAAAUUGAUACAGGUACUUCUGGAUCUUAAUUUGCAUUUUCCAAUUAACUACAGGAAAUGAGCAUCUUAUCACUUUAUGGCUGGUUCUUCUAGGAAAUGUCAGUUCAAAUCUUUGCCCAUUUGUCUAUUGGGUUUUUUCUUGUUUGUAAUUUCUUUUUAAAAAACUAUUCUAAGGCCUCAGAUAUAGCUCAGUGGCAUAGUGCCUGCCUGCCUACCUGUCAAGCAGAAGGUCUUGAGUUUGAUCCUGGUAAAAACAAACAAAAAACAACCUCUAAACAAGCACUUGGGAGGCUGAGGCAGGAGGAUGGACACCAAUUUGAGGCCAGUUGAAGCUUCUUAGUGAGUUCAAGGCCAGUUGAACUACAUACCCAGACCCUAUCUCAAAACAAAUAAAGGGGAAGAGGAAGUGGGAAGGAUAGGGGAAAGAGGGGAAUGGAAUUAAUAUGAGAAAAUGAAAAAAUGGAAAC